rnacentral:rRNA from 1 species
CGGACGGGUGAGUAACACGUGAGCAACCUGGCUCUAAGAGGGGGACAACAGUUGGAAACGACUGCUAAUACCGCAUAACGUAUCGGGAUGGCAUCUUCCUGAUACCAAAGAUUUUAUCGCUUAGAGAUGGGCUCGCGUCUGAUUAGAUAGUUGGCGGGGUAACGGCCCACCAAGUCGACGAUCAGUAGCCGACCUGAGAGGGUGACCGGCCACAUUGGGACUGAGACACGGCCCAA